AACGAACGCUGGCGGCAGGCUUAACACAUGCAAGUCGAACGCCCCGCAAGGGGAGUGGCAGACGGGUGAGUAACGCGUGGGAAUCUACCCAGUUCUACGGAACAACUGAGGGAAACUUCAGCUAAUACCGUAUACGCCCUACGGGGGAAAGAUUUAUCGGAAUUGGAUGAGCCCGCGUUGGAUUAGCUAGUUGGUGAGGUAACGGCUCACCAAGGCGACGAUCCAUAGCUGGUCUGAGAGGAUGAUCGGCCACACUGGGACUGAGACACGGCCCAGACUCCUACGGGAGGCAGCAGUGGGGAAUAUUGGACAAUGCGCGCAAGCCUGAUCCAGCCAUGCCGCGUGAGUGAUGAAGGCCUUAGGGUUGUAAAGCUCUUUCAGUGGGGACGAUAAUGACGGUACCCACAGAAGAAGCCCCGGCUAACUUCGUGCCAGCAGCCGCCGCUGUAA
rnacentral:rRNA from 1 species